CAGUAGCCACGGUAAUACGAGGGGUGCAAGCGUUAUUCGGAUUGAUUGGGUGUAAAGGGUGUGCAGACGGCUUAUUGAGUCACUUGUUAAAUUCUUCGGCCUAACUGAAGGUCUGCAAGUGAUACUGAUGAGCUAGAGGGUGGAAGAGAGAAGUGGAAUUCUCGGAGUAGCGGUAAAAUGCGUAGAUCUCGAGAGGAACACCAAUGGCGAAGGCAGCUUCUUGGUCCAUUCCUGACGCUCAUACACGAAAGCGUGGGGAGCAAACAGGAUUAGAUACCCCGGUAGUCCCUGUCUCUUAUAC
rnacentral:rRNA from 1 species